GAUGAAGAACGCAGCGAAAUGCGAUAAGUAGUGUGAAUUGCAGAAUUCAGUGAAUCAUCGAAUCUUUGAACGCACAUUGCGCCCUUUGGUAUUCCAAAGGGCAUGCCUGUUCGAGCGUCAUUUGUACCCUCAAGCUUUGCUUGGUGUUGGGCGUCUUGUCUCUAGCUUUGCUGGAGACUCGCCUUAAAGUAAUUGGCAGCCGGCCUACUGGUUUCGGAGCGCAGUACAAGUCGCACUCUCUAUCAGCAAAGGUCUAGCAUCCAUUAAGCCUUUUUUUCAACUUUUGACCUCGGAUCAGGUAGGGAUACCCGCUGAACUUAAGCAUAUCAAUAAGCGGAGGA
rnacentral:misc_RNA from 1 species